AUUGAACGCUGGCGGCAUGCCUUACACAUGCAAGUCGAACGGCAGCACGGGAGCAAUCCUGGUGGCGAGUGGCGAACGGGUGAGUAAUAUAUCGGAACGUGCCCAGUCGUGGGGAUAACGUAGCGAAAGCUACGCUAAUACCGCAUACGAUCUAUGGAUGAAAGCGGGGGAUCGCAAGACCUCGCGCGAUUGGAGCGGCCGAUAUCAGAUUAGGUAGUUGGUGAGGUAAAGGCUCACCAAGCCGACGAUCUGUAGCUGGUCUGAGAGGACGACCAGCCACACUGGGACUGAGACACGGCCCAGACUCCUACGGAGGCAGCAGUGGGGAAUUUUUGGACAAUGGGCGCGAAGCCUGAUCCAGCAAUGCCGCGUGCAGGAUGAAGGCCUUCGGGUU
rnacentral:rRNA from 1 species